rnacentral:lncRNA from 1 species
AUGAUAAGCCGUGAAGCUAAUUAUAAUGAGAAAACUCACCCCAGUUAAGAAAACCCAGAAAACCCAAUUGUGUGGACUAGAAACAUCCACAUCAUUUAUAUAAAAUAUGAGAUAUAGGGUAAUUUUGGAAUUUUGCACUAGACAUAGAGAAGGUUUAGUGCUGACAUCCCAUCACCCUCGAACUUCUUUAUCUCAUCCCACACACUUCUCUCUCUUUUUCUCUCUCUCUCAAUAACUUUUUUCAAGAUCUAAGAUCUAAAACAAAAAACCUCUUUUUCUUAUCAAAAUCCUUCAUAAUCAACAAUAAAACUCCAGAUGAUCCGAAUAAAAAAGAUACUCCAUAUGCUCUAGUUGAAGAUGCUCUAGAUACUCCGGUUGAAGAUGCUCCGGGAAGAUGCUACCAGAUCCAAAAGAUGCUCCAGAUCCGGUUGAAGAUGUUCGAUGUUGAAGAUGAUGUUUUAGAUGACGGUUCGAUGUUGAAGAUGAUCCAAAAGAUGUUUGAUGUUGAACAUGAUGUUCCAGAUCUAAAAGAUCCUCCAGAUCCAUAAGUAUGUUUGUGUUUUUGUAGAUCUUCAUUUUUCUUUUGUAGAUCUUCACUUUUUUGUAAUUUUCAAAUUUGCAUUUUUUUUGUGUUCCAGAUCUAAAAGGUUCUCCAAAUUUGCAAUUUUUUGUGUUUUGUAGAUUUUUUUUUUUUUUUUUUGUGUUUUGUAGAUCUACAACUUUUUUUUAUUUUUCUUGUUUAAGAAGAUGAAUGUUAUUAAGUUCUUGUUUUCUGGAUAUUUUGUUUUUUUAUUACUGAUUUUAUGGUUGAAUCUAAAAAAUUUGUUGUUGUUGAAUUUUUGUUAAUGAAGUUAUAUUUUUUAUAUACAUUUUGUAACAUUACUUAUGUUGGAUUAUUGUUAAUGAAGUUUGUUUUUGAU